GACGUAGGGCGCGAGCGUUGUCCGGAUUUCUUGGGCGUAAAGAGCUCGUAGGCGGCUUGUCGCGUCGUCCGUGAAAACUCACAGCUCAACUGUGAGCUUGCGGUCGAUACGGGCAGGCUAGAGUUCGGUAGGGGAGACUGGAAUUCCCGGUGUAGCGGUGAAAUGCGCAGAUAUCGGGAAGAACACCCGUGGCGAAGGCGGCUCUCUGGGACGGUACCGACGCUGAGACGCGAAAGCGUGGGGAGCGAACAGG
rnacentral:rRNA from 1 species